UACGGAGGGAGCGAGCGUUGUCCGAAGUUACUGGGCGUAAAGCGCGCGUAGGCGGGAAAUUAAGUGAGAAGUGAAAGGCUGGGGCUCAACCCCAUGCAGUGCUCCUCAUACUGGUUUUCUUGAGGGUGGUAGAGAGAAGUGGAAUGGCUGGUGUAGCGGUGAAAUGCGUAGAUAUCAGUCGGAACACCAGUGGCGAAGGCGGCUUCUUGGGCCAUUACUGACGCUGAGGCGCGAAAGCGUGGGGAGCGAACAGG
rnacentral:rRNA from 1 species